rnacentral:lncRNA from 1 species
AAAUUGUGGCCCUUAGGUGCAAUCGUUUGGAAAGUUGUUUGUCAGUAUUUCUCAGGAGCCAUGGAAAUGGGCAUGCGCUUUGAUCCACUCAUCUUCGAGGAAUUGAGCCAUCCUGUGCCCGAUUGCCAAAAGGAAUCUUUGCAAUACACAGUACCUGAACCUGGAUCAUCACCUCCCUGCUUAAAGUUUUUCCAUGUCACCCCCGUCAUCUAGUACAAGCCCAAAGGCUGACUUUCUCUUGCCCCCAUGUUUUAGUUUUAAGAGCCCCAUCUAUAAAAUGGACAUAAUGAUGACAGCUAUGUAGGUGCCUCGCAAGACGGUAUGGCAUAAAUUAUGGUAGUUACUGCAUAGUUUCAUUUCCUUCAAAUUGAGGAUAAUCUGUGCAUGUUGUGAAACAGGCCCUACACCUCAUUUUGGCCUUUGCACCUACCAGCUCCUCUGCCUGAGAUGUUUGGCCUCUUCUCUCCACUUAGUUAACUUCUAGUUGUUUUUCAAGACUCCGGCCCGCAAGUUCAAGGCGAGCCUCAGCAAUUUUGUGAGACACUCUCCCCACCCCCAAGAAACUGAGUGAGAC